AUUGAACGCUGGCGGCAGGCCUAACACAUGCAAGUCGAACGGCAACAGGAAGCAGCUUGCUGCUUUGCUGACGAGUGGCGGACGGGUGAGUAAUGUCUGGGAAACUGCCCGAUGGAGGGGGAUAACUACUGGAAACGGUAGCUAAUACCGCAUAACGUCGCAAGACCAAAGAGGGGGACCUUAGGGCCUCUUGCCAUCGGAUGUGCCCAGAUGGGAUUAGCUAGUAGGUGGGGUAACGGCUCACCUAGGCGACGAUCCCUAGCUGGUCUGAGAGGAUGACCAGCCACACUGGAACUGAGACACGGUCCAGACUCCUACGGGAGGCAGCAGUGGGGAAUAUUGCACAAUGGGCGCAAGCCUGAUGCAGCCAUGCCGCGUGUAUGAAGAAGGCCUUCGGGUUGUAAAGUACUUUCAGCGGGGAGGAAGGGAGUAAAGUUAAUACCUUUGCUCAUUGACGUUACCCGCAGAAGAAGCACCGGCUAACUCCGUG
rnacentral:rRNA from 1 species